rnacentral:rRNA from 1 species
AUACGUAGGGGGCGAGCGUUGUCCGGAAUGAUUGGGCGUAAAGGGCGCGUAGGCGGCCCGGUAAGUCUGGAGUGAAAGUCCUGUUUUUAAGAUGGGAAUUGCUUUGGAUACUGUCGGGCUUGAGUGCAGGAGAGGUAAGUGGAAUUCCCAGUGUAGCGGUGAAAUGCGUAUAGAUUGGGAGGAACACCAGUGGCGAAGGCGACUUACUGGACUGUAACUGACGCUGAGUCGCGAAAGUGUGGGGAGCAAACAUGAUUAGAUACCCUGGUAGUCCACACUGUAAACGAUGAAUGCUAGGUGUAGGGGGUAUCGUCCCCUCCUGUGCCGCAGUCAACACAAUAAUCAUUCCGCCUGGGGAGUACGGCCGCAAGGUUGAAACUCAAAGGAAUUGACGGGG